AGUGAACGCUGGCGGUAGGCCUAACACAUGCAAGUCGAACGGCAGCACAGUAAGAGCUUGCUCUUACGGGUGGCGAGUGGCGGACGGGUGAGGAAUACAUCGGAAUCUACUUUUUCGUAGGGGAUAACGUAGGUAAACUUACGCUAAUACCGCAUACGACCUACGUGUGAGAGCAGGGGAUCUUCGGACCUUGCGCGAUUGAAUGAGCCGAUGUCGGAUUAGCUAGUUGGCGGGGUAAAGGCCCACCAAGGCGACGAUCCGUAGCUGGUCUGAGAGGAUGAUCAGCCACACUGGAACUGAGACACGGUCCAGACUCCUACGGGAGGCAGCAGUGGGGAAUAUUGGACAAUGGGCGCAAGCCUGAUCCAGCCAUACCGCGUGGGUGAAGAAGGCCUUCGGGUUGUAAAGCCCUUUUGUUGGGAAAGAAAAGCAGCAGGUUAAUACCCCGCUGUUCUGACGGUACCCAAAGAAUAAGCACCGGCUAACUUCGUG
rnacentral:rRNA from 1 species